rnacentral:misc_RNA from 1 species
GGAGAAUUUUCUCUCCAGAUACUUGUUUUUGUGCAGACAUGGCCAGUAAUCCUCCACCGUCUGGUCCACAGCCUCUUUGGCCUCCUUCAGUUGGAUCCACACCACCUCAAGGUUUUGGUUCAUUUCCUAUGCAAUUUCGACCUGCUCUAUCAACACAGCAAGGCCAGCAUUUUGCUCCACCAAUUUCAGCCUCUCCACAAUAUCGCCCUGUUGGACAAACACCAAAUGCUGGAAUGCCUCCUGGUCAAGGUCAAAUACCCCAGUUUUCUCAAACAAUGCAGCAGUUUCCCCCAAGACCUGGCCAGCCAGGUCAUGGAACACCGUCAUCUCAGGCAAUUCAAAUGUCAUAUAACCAAUCAAGUAUUUCACAGCCCCAACAAGUCAAUCCCCCUUUGAAUAGUCACAUGCCUGGUGUUAGUGGUGCUGGAAAUCCAUUCUCAUCAUCAUAUACAGUUCAAUCUUCUUCCCAAAUGCAUGGUCCUACUUUCCCUGCGGGGGGACAGCCUUGGUUGUCAUCU